rnacentral:rRNA from 1 species
AACAAACGCUGGCGGCGUGCCUAAUACAUGCAAGUCGAACGGGGAAAGCUUUCGGGUGAGUACUAGUGGCGCACGGGUGAGGAACGUGUGGAUAAUCUGCCUUAGAGUGGGGGAUAACUAGUCGAAAGAUAGCUAAUACCGCAUAAGACCACAGGAGCUGCGGCUCAAGGGGUCAAAGGUUUUUCGCUCUAAGAUGAGUCCGCGUAAGAUUAGCUAGGUGGUGAGGUAACGGCUCACCAAGGCGACGAUCUUUAACUGGUCUGAGAUGAUGAUCAGUCACACUGGAACUGAGACACGGUCCAGACUCCUACGGGAGGCAGCAGUAGGGAAUAUUGCACAAUGGAGGAAACUCUGAUGCAGCGACGCCGCGUGAGUGAUGAAGGCCUUCGGGUCGUAAAGCUCUGUCGCAGGGGAAUAACACAAUGAAGGUACCCUGUAAGAAAGGAUCGGCUAACUUCGUGCCAGCCGCCGCGGUAAGAC